rnacentral:rRNA from 1 species
AGUGAACGCUGGCGGUAGGCCUAACACAUGCAAGUCGAACGGCAGCACAGUAAGAGCUUGCCCUUACGGGUGGCGAGUGGUGGACGGGUGAGGAAUACAUCGGAAUCUACUUUUUCGUGGGGGAUAACGUAGGGAAACUUACGCUAAUACCGCAUACGACCUACGGGUGAAAGCAGGGGAUCUUCGGACCUUGCGCGAUUGAAUGAGCCGAUGUCGGAUUAGCUAGUUGGCGGGGUAAAGGCCCACCAAGGCGACGAUCCGUAGCUGGUCUGAGAGGAUGAUCAGCCACACUGGAACUGAGACACGGUCCAGACUCCUACGGGAGGCAGCAGUGGGGAAUAUUGGACAAUGGGCGCAAGCCUGAUCCAGCCAUACCGCGUGGGUGAAGAAGGCCUUCGGGUUGUAAAGCCCUUUUGUUGGGAAAGAAAAGCAGCAGGUUAAUACCCCGCUGUUCUGACGGUACCCAAAGAAUAAGCACCGGCUAACUUCGUG